UACGGAGGGUGCAAGCGUUGUUCGGAAUUACUGGGCGUAAAGGGCUCGUAGGUGGCCAACUAAGUCAGACGUGAAAUCCCUCAGCUUAACUGGGGAACUGCGUCUGAUACUGGAUGGCUUGAGUUUGGGAGAGGGAUGCGGAAUUCCAGGUGUAGCGGUGAAAUGCGUAGAUAUCUGGAGGAACACCGGUGGCGAAGGCGGCAUCCUGGACCAACACUGACACUGAGGAGCGAAAGCCAGGGGAGCAAACGGG
rnacentral:rRNA from 1 species